CAAAACCCAAAUCAAUGUUUUAUUUUUCUCCUCUCUGUCUCUCUGAGAAAAUUGAAAAACACAAGAAACAAAUCUUUUAUUUUCUCUCUCUAAAAAACCGACUCAUUGUGUGCGUCUCUCUCUCUCUCUCUCUCUCUCUCUCUCUCACGGACACCAAUCGACGAUUAAUCCCAAAAUCGACUCGUCGUCUUCCUUUCAAACGUGACCGUUCUUAACCUUACCCUCGGCGCGUCUAAGCAAAAACCGCCGCCAAUACUCAAAAACCCAUACCCGUUAACAUUUAAACCGAAACAUCCAAAACGACACCGUUGCUCUUUUCUUUUUUCAAAUUCAUUACCCGCCGGCGAUUCGGUUCCGGCGAUUUUUAAGGCGUUGUGGGGAAUUGUAGGAGACAACAGAAGAAGUUACCUCCUGCAUUGCAUUCAUAGCAAGCAUUUCUGAUAGGGAAAGGCGGUAAAUAAUUCCAUGUGAGAUGAUGGCAUUUUUCAGGAACUAUACAAACGAAGCAGUUUCACAGAGUGUCCUAGAAGGAAAGAGGCAAGGUCGGGGUGUAGGUAGAAUGUUGGGCAAUGAGGAUGUAGAUAUGACUUCUAGUGAAAGAGAAUUGGAUACGAACACAGAUGUGCAAUAUGAAAGUGAACCGGAUGAUGUGGUUAGGUUGCAAAGUAAUGUAGCUGCCGACCAUGAUGCUGGUGUGAAUAAUUCAGAGCUGCAGCCUUCUGGAAGGAAAAAUGUGGCUGGAAAAUGGGGUUCCAGUUUUUGGAAGGACUGCCAACCCAUGGGUAAUCCUGGGGCAUCCGAUUCUGGACAGGAUUCCAAAUCAGAGGGUAGAAAUGCAGUAGGGUCAGAAGAUAAUGUAUCAAAUGGAAGGGAUGAUAGAUUAGAUUCAGAAGAUGAAGAGGGGCAAAAAGAAGCGGGUAAGGGGGGGAAAGGCCAUUCUGAUGUCCCUGCAGAUGAGAUGUUGUCUGAUGAAUACUAUGAGCAGGAUGGGGAGGAUCAAAGUGACUCGGUGCAUUAUAGGGGGUUUAGCCAGUCUGUUGAUUUGAGUUCUAGGCUGCAAAAAAAGCCGGUUCCUAUCAAGAAUAAUGUCUCCAGGAGGUCAAGAGGUUUGCACAAUAGUGAAGGUUAUGAUGACAAUAAUAAUGAUGGCGAUGCUGAUUAUGAGGAAGAAGAAGUUGAAGAUGAUCCUGAUGACGCUGACUUUGACCCUGAUUAUGGCAUCGCUAGUGGGCACGCAGGGGACAAGGAUAAAGACUGGGAGGGUGAAGAUUCAGAUGAAGAUAAUAACAGUGAUGAUUUGGUCAUCUCAGAUGGUGAUGACAAUGAUGAUUCUUAUUACACAAAGAAACCUAAGAGUAGGCAACAUGGUAAAGGUGGGCGGAAUACAAAAUCUGCCAAAGAGAACAAGUCAUUGCAUGCUUCUGGACGACAAAAGAGAGGGAAACCAUCAUUUGAAGAAGAUGAGUAUUCAGCAGAGGAUUCUGACAGUGAUAGUGAUGCUGUUUCAAAGAACAUGACCAAGAGAGGUGCACAUCUUCGUAAAUCUAAUGCCCGGUCAACUAUGUCAACAAACAUUGGUGGAAGAAACAAUGAGGUUCGAACUUCUAGCAGGUCGGUUCGUAAGGUGUCAUAUGUUGAAAGUGAUGAAAGCGAAGAAAUUGAUGAAGGGAAAAAGAAGAAGGCCCUAAAGGAAGAAGUUGAAGAAGAAGAUGGUGACUCCAUUGAAAGGGUACUGUGGCAUCAGCCAAGGGGCAUGGCUGAAGAUGCAGUGAGGAACAAUAGAUCAACAGCACCUAUUCUCUUAAGCCACCUGUUUGAUUCUGCUCCUGAUUGGAAAGAAAUGGAGUUCUUGAUAAAGUGGAAAGGCCAGUCACAUUUGCACUGCCAAUGGAAAUCAUUCUCUGAAUUACAAAAUCUGAGUGGUUUUAAGAAGGUACUGAACUACACGAAAAAAGUGAUGGAAGAUGUGAGGUACAGGAGAAAUUUUACACGCGAGGAGAUCGAGGUGAAUGAUGUGAGCAAGGAAAUGGAUUUGGAUCUAAUCAAGCAAAAUAGUCAGGUGGAGAGAAUUAUUGCUGAUCGAAUCAAUAAAGAUAGCUCCGGAAAUGUUGUGCCGGAGUAUUUAGUCAAGUGGCAAGGACUCUCUUAUGCUGAAGCUACUUGGGAAAAGGAUGUAGACAUUUCUUUUGCACAAGAUGCUAUUGAUGAGUACAAGGCACGUGAGGCUGCAAUUGCUGUACAGGGAAAAAUGGUGGAUCUACAGCGUAAGAAAGGAAAAGCAAGUUUAAGGAAGCUUGAAGAACAGCCUGAAUGGUUGAGAGGAGGAAAGCUGCGUGAUUACCAGCUCGAGGGUUUGAAUUUUCUAGUUAACAGUUGGAGAAAUGAUACAAAUGUUAUUUUAGCUGAUGAAAUGGGUCUUGGAAAAACAGUCCAGUCAGUUUCCAUGCUCGGUUUUUUGCAGAAUGGGCAGCAGAUCUCUGGGCCUUUUCUUGUUGUUGUACCUUUAUCCACUUUGUCUAACUGGGCUAAAGAAUUUAGAAAGUGGCUUCCCAAUAUGAAUGUUAUAGUAUAUGUUGGUACACGUGCUAGUCGAGAGGUUUGUCAGCAGCAUGAAUUUUACAAUGAUAAGAAAGUUGGGCGGCCUAUAAAAUUCAGUACUCUGCUGACCACGUAUGAAGUUGUUUUGAAGGAUAAGGCAGUGCUUUCUAAGAUCAAGUGGAAUUAUUUAAUGGUCGAUGAAGCUCAUAGGUUAAAGAACAGUGAAGCACAGUUGUACACAACUCUUUUGGAAUUUAGCACCAAGAACAAGUUGCUAAUUACUGGCACUCCAUUACAGAACAGUGUGGAAGAGCUAUGGGCCUUGCUUCAUUUCCUUGAUCCUGACAAGUUUAGGAGCAAGGAUGAUUUUGUUCAAAAUUAUAAGAAUCUUAGCUCUUUUAAUGAAAUUGAGCUCGCUAAUCUUCACAUGGAAUUGAGGCCUCACAUUCUCAGAAGAGUCAUCAAGGAUGUGGAGAAAUCCUUGCCUCCAAAAAUAGAGCGCAUUCUGAGGGUUGAAAUGUCUCCUCUACAGAAACAAUACUAUAAAUGGAUUUUGGAACGUAACUUCCAGGACCUGAACAAAGGAGUUCGUGGGAAUCAGGUCUCACUUCUGAAUAUUGUGGUAGAGUUGAAGAAAUGCUGCAAUCAUCCCUUCCUCUUUGAAAGUGCAGAUCAUGGUUAUGGCGGAGACGUCGGUACCAAUGAUAGCAGUAAACUGGAGAGGAUUAUCUUAAGCAGUGGAAAGCUAGUUAUACUUGACAAGCUACUUGUCAGAUUGCACAAGACAAAACAUCGUGUCCUGAUUUUUUCCCAGAUGGUCAGAAUGUUGGAUAUACUGUCUCAGUACAUGUCACUCAGAGGGUUCCAGUUUCAAAGGCUUGAUGGUAGCACGAAGGCUGAGUUGCGUCAGCAGGCAAUGGACCAUUUCAAUGCACCUGGCAGUGAUGAUUUCUGCUUCCUUCUUUCAACUCGGGCGGGUGGGUUAGGCAUCAAUCUUGCAACUGCUGACACAGUUAUAAUAUUUGAUUCAGACUGGAAUCCUCAAAAUGACCUGCAGGCAAUGAGUAGAGCUCAUAGGAUUGGGCAGCAAGAAGUUGUUAACAUCUAUAGAUUUGUGACAAGCAAAAGCGUCGAGGAAGAUAUCCUAGAGAGAGCUAAGAAAAAGAUGGUUCUUGACCAUUUGGUGAUCCAAAAACUGAAUGCAGAGGGUAGAUUGGAAAAGAAAGAAGCAAAAAAAGGGAGUUAUUUCGACAAAAAUGAGCUCUCAGCAAUUUUAAGAUUUGGCGCCGAGGAACUUUUUAAAGAGGACAAUGAUGAAGAAAGUAAGAAAAGACUCUUGAGUAUGGAUAUUGAUGAAAUUCUUGAACGAGCGGAGAAAGUUGAAGAGAAGGAAGCUGGAGGAGAGGACGGGAAUGAAUUGUUGGGUGCUUUUAAGGUUGCAAAUUUUUGUAGUGCUGAAGAUGAUGGGAGUUUCUGGAGUCGUUGGAUAAAACCAGAUGCUGUAACUGAGGCUGAAGAAGCUUUAGCUCCUCGGGCUGCAAGAAAUAUUAAGAGUUACAAGGAGGAUAAUCAACCUGAGAGAAGUAAUGAGAGAAGUAACAAACGGAAAAAGAAAGGUUUGGAAGCAUCAGAACCACAGGAGAGAGUGCAGAAACGUCGCAAAGCAGAUUAUUCUACCCCCCUAGCAUCAAUGAUUGAAGGAGCAUCUGCUCAAGUAAGAGAAUGGUCUCAUGGGAAUCUGCCUAAGAGAGAUGCUUUACGUUUUUCUCGUGCGGUGAUGAAGUUUGGGAACUUGAACCAGAUAGACUUGAUAGUUGAGGAGGUUGGUGGAACAGUGGCAGCAGCCCGCCGUGAAGAACAGAUAGAGCUUUUUGAUGCUUUGGUUGAAGGUUGUAGAGAAGCAGUUGAAGUUGGAAAUCUGGACCCAAAGGGUCCUUUGUUGGAUUUUUUUGGUGCCGCUGUGAAGGCAAAUGAUCUAUUGAGUCGUGUGCAAGUACUUCAGCUGCUAGCAAAGCGAAUUAGCCGUUAUGAAAAUCCCAUUGCACAAUUUCGAGUUUUGACGGACUUGAAGCCUUCAAACUGGUCUAAGGGAUGUGGCUGGAAUCAGAUUGAUGAUGCGAGGUUGCUUCUGGGAAUACACUUUCAUGGAUUUGGCAAUUGGGAGAAGAUACGGUUAGAUGAAAGGCUUGGCCUUUCGAAGAAGAUUGCUCCAGCAGAACUCCAGCAUCAUGAGACCUUUCUACCACGUGCUCCAAAUUUGAAGGAACGUGCUAAUGCACUCCUGGAGAUGGAACUUGCAGCUGUUGGUGGAAAGAAUGCAAAUGCUAAGGGUGGUCGGAAGGCCUCCAAGAAGGAGAGAGAGAAUGUGUUGAACUUCUCUGCAGCUCGGGGCAGGGACAAGAAAGUGAAGCCUGGGUCUGUAAUGGUGAGUGUACAAACAAACAAGAACAGGCCUCAGAGACCCCAUAGAGUUGAACAGUUAGCAAAAGAGGAGGGUGAGAUGUCAGACAAUGAGGAAUUAUGUGAGCAGUUCAAGGAAGUAAAAUGGAUGGAAUGGUGUGAAGAAGUCAUGUUUGAUGAAAUUAAAACCCUGAAACGUCUUAACAAGUUGCAGACUACCAGUGCUGACCUUCCGAAGGAAAAGGUGCUUUCAAAAAUAAGGAAUUAUUUACAGCUUAUUGGACGGAGAAUAGACCAAAUUGUCUUCGAAUAUGAGGCAGAGCUUUAUAAACAAGAUAGAAUGACUAUGCGAUUAUGGAAGUACGUUUCAACUUUUUCAAAUUUAUCUGGUGAGAGACUUCGUCAGAUUUAUUCGAAACUUAAACAAGAGCAAGAGGAAGAUGCAGGGGUUGGACCAUCUCAUGCCAAUGGUGCUGCAUAUGGUUCUAUUGACAAAGACGGUGAUUCCAACAAUUUUCCACCCCUUUCUCGUAAUCUUGAGAGGCAAAGAGGGUACAAAAAUGCAUCAGCCUAUCCAAUGUCAGAACCAAUAAACAGAGGUCAUGAUGCUGGGAAAUUUGAAGCGUGGAAACGACGCAGAAGAGCUGAAGCUGAUUUUCAACCCCAAUUUCAGCCCCCCUUACAAAGACCUAUUAGUAAUGGUACCCGUUUAUCUGACCCUAACUCAUUGGGGAUUCUUGGGGCUGGACCAGCUGAUAACAGGCCUUUUAUUGAGAGACCUUUUCGAGCACGUCAAACUGGUUUUACUCCAAAACAAAAUUUCACUUCAGGUAUAAAGUAGGCUUAGUGGAAGGAGAGCAACUGGUUAAAAAGGCUUCAGCCUGCGGGUUUCCCCAAGUCGGUCAGUUACUUCUUGAGUCAUUGGCUAUACUGUGGAAUUCUUUUCAAACAUCACGUCUAUAAGAAGUGCUGCGAUGUAUACGUGCCCUCACCUUUAUAUAAUGCAGAAAAAAUGAAAUUGCCUUGGCCAUGGAUCAGAGGUGAAAACUGAAAAGCUGCUGUUAACACCUAUGAAUCUAGGUGGAGUCAAGAGAGACUACCCAAAAGCUGUAGACAGAUAUGUGAGGUGCUGUUAUGACCUCGCUUUCCCUGUUUUCCUUGCGGAGUUCUGUGUUGACCGAUGCUAUGUGUUAUCAACUAGGCUAAUUUUAACAGCUGGGAGUGCUUUGCAUUAGAAUUGUGGAAUGUUGAUAUCUGCAAACUUGAAAUUGAGAUAUUCCUCUGUGGUAGCUACUACGUCUUGAUAAUGCAAAUAGCUAUUUGUCGAUUAA